UUACAACUAUUGGUCCAUAUGAUUGUUUUUAGUUGUAUAUAAUACUCCCACUAUGCUUAUAAAACGUUUUUAAAGCAAGAGUAUAUGAUACUACUAACAUAACCUUUGCAUUCAUUUGAUGGACUAUAUAGUUGCCCUAGGGCCUUAGGAUGACUAUGAACCUUUGUUUAGAUUCAACACGAGCCUUGUGUUGAAUCUCGGUCUAGGGAUGGUGAUUGAUUUUAGUUACAUGUUUAAACACAUUAAGGCGUGUUGUCUUAGGGGCGUUGGACCCAACUACUUCAUUUUCAUGCAUAUCAAAUAAAGCAAGAAAGAAGUACUUCAAAGUAAAGGUGAGCUUAUGCUCAUUACAACAUUUGCAUAAAGCAAAUUACUUUAAAGUAAAGAAGAGCUUAUGCCCUUUUACAACAUUUGAUCAAAUCAAAUUACAACCAAAAUCUAAUCUACACAUUCCCAUGGUUCAAACAAAUUUGAAACGGCCUUUCACAUAGCUCAAUUAUAUUAGGCUUAGGUUCAUAAUCACCCUUUCUUUAAUCAAUUAACACUUUAACCAAUUAAAUAGAAUGCAACAUUUUCAUUUGGUCUUUGUAUCCAUAAAAUUGAUUUAAAUGGAGCUAAAUGAAAUGAAAAUCCAAUUCUCAUUUAAAGAGACAAAACAAUUUUGUUCUCUACCUAAUUUGGGCCAAUAUGCAAUUACCACAACAUUUGGGCUAUAUUGCAAAAACAUAAACUUUUGGGGUCACUUUGUAAAAACACGAAAGUCCACUACUUCAUGUAAUUACACUAGAACCCAAAAUUUAAACAAUGUAAAAACUUCAUUAAAGGAGCAAAACAAUUUGUCCUUUAGAUUUUUUGGACCUAAACGUAAAACGUAAACUUUUGGGCCAAAGUGCAAAUACACAAAAGUAUCAAAACUUUAUGUAAUUGCAUAAAAGGCCCCAAAAGUACCCCCACUAGAGGGUGGCCGGUUUUGGAAGAAGAAAUGGAGUGAUGUGUGUGUUGAUUUGUGAGUUUUGACAUAAAGCAAUCAAGUGGUGCAAGUGGUGUGUGUGAAAGGAAAUUAAUCCUUACACACCCACCAAUAUCUCUUACACCAUUUAAACAAAUAUCUAAAACAUUUAAACAUUUGAAAAUCAUAAAACAUAAACUUUAUGAUAUAAAUCAAAACUUUGAAUCAAAACACCAAACUUUAUGUUCUUGGCAAAAAUGUCAAGAACAAUGAAGAACACUCAUGAAAAACCCAAAAUUUUUCCAUGAACAUUUUUCACCCAAAAACAUUCCAAAACCAUUCAAACUUAAGGGAAAUAACAUCUAACCAAACUAGGGUACAUAGGGGUUCCAAAAGUUACUUGAAAACACUUUUAACAAGUCAAACAAGAACCCAAAAAUCCACCCUUUGGAUUUGGCCGAAAAUUCCCAAAAGCAUGGCACCAAAUUUUAGCUCCAAUAUUCAUACUCAUAUGAACUACAUCUACAACAUUUGAGAUGGCAAAUUUUCUAACAAAAUUUACAUUCAAAGAAACAAGAAUAAAGCUUGUAACAAUUACAACUUUUAAAUCACAAACUAUGAACCACAAAACCCAAAAGGAUUCACCAACUACUAGACCUAGGCUCUGAUACCACUUGAAGGAAUAUUUUGUGAAAACAUGUUCAUUUAAGCAACAUCUAUAAGCAUGCAAUUAACAAUUAAAGGCGGAACCAUGCUUGCAUGCACUUAAAAACAAAACAUUAACCAAGAAAUUCAAAGCCUAGUAGAUUGGUGAACCAAGAAUCAACUCAAAACAAAGUGAGUUGAAAUUUAUACCUUUGUAGAUUCCUCUUUGCAUAAGCAAAGGCUAAUCACCCAAAGAGAGGGCCUUCAUUCCUUGCAUCUAAAAUCUAUGGAUUUGGAUGGAUGAAAAGGUUUCUCCAAGUUCCAAAAAUUGAGAACCUCUGAGUAUCUUCACCAAGGUUAGAU
rnacentral:lncRNA from 1 species